rnacentral:lncRNA from 1 species
AUAAUUUUACAAUAAAAAAACAGACACAUACAAAAACUUCAGAAUUCAUGUAAACUAUAAUUUCAUUAAAAAAUACAACUGAUAUCCAUCAUUUCACCAAGGUUCAAAUACCCAUCGGUCCACAUUUCAUUCCGAUUAAGCGUUGAGCUAAACCUUUUUCAGUGUUCCAACAUAAAAGCAAUCAAUACAAUUGGCAUUGAUGCAUCAUUGUUUAAGUUUUUUCACUACAAAAAUUCUGAAUUAUCAAGUUGUCAUGUCCGAGGCAUAGACACUUUCGAAUAGGAUGGGCUGCAAGGUGAAAAUCACUAGUCCUACUCAGGUCUUUUCUCCACUCCGCAUCUACAUCAGGUACCACAACUCGAUGUUCGUUGAACUACAAAAAAAGGAAGUUCGCACCAUGUAUCCAACUGAGAAUUGUAACAAUUACAUGAGCACAUGAUGACUAUAGCUUAGAUUUUUAAUAACAAUCAGCAGAACUUGUUGAGAAAAAAGAUAAGAGCCAGAAUACUAACUUCUAUUUUUGGUUAUUGUGUCAUACAUUUCAGUAAUAAUUACUAAAUAAGUAAGGACAAAAGAAAGGAAGAUGAUAAGCAAUAGAUCAUUAUUGUCAAGCUUCUCGCCAAUAUAUAAUUCCAAAAUUAGUAAAAAUGGGGACAAAAAAAUGUAUAAUGGGGAAAGUAAGGACAAAACAAACAUGGAUUUUUUAGUGCAUAGAAUUAAAGGCAUCUAUCUAUAAAAGGAUGUAAGGCAGUCUAACAAACAAUUCACAAACAAUGUAUUCUCCGGCAGUGUCGUAUGUGUAAAUGAAUGCAUAGAAGAACUUGUGCAACAAAUAUAAAAAAUUGUUAUUGUUCUUCAGAAGACCCUAACCAACAGUAAGCAUCACUUCUAAAAAUAGUGUACCAAGGAAGAUUCAAACCUGGAGCUAGCACAAGCACGAUGAAAGUACUAAAUUACUAAUAGAUAUAUGGCACAUGCCCGCACUCCACUACUGUUACAAGUUACUUCCCUGAU